UACGGAGGGAGCUAGCGUUGUUCGGAAUCACUGGGCGUAAAGCGCACGUAGGCGGCUACUCAAGUCGGGGGUGAAAGACCGGGGCUCAACCCCGGAACUGCCCUCGAAACUAGGUAGCUAGAAUCUUGGAGAGGCGAGUGGAAUUCCGAGUGUAGAGGUGAAAUUCGUAGAUAUUCGGAAGAACACCAGUGGCGAAGGCGACUCGCUGGACAAGUAUUGACGCUUAGGUGCGAAAGCGUGGGGAGCAAACAGG
rnacentral:rRNA from 1 species